rnacentral:lncRNA from 1 species
GAGGGGGGAGUCAAAAAGUGCAAACGACUAUAAGAGCAAAAAGCUCCAUGGUUUGUGUGCACGAUGGAAUGUCAAGUAGUAAAUGGUAGAUACUAGUUGCUAGGCUAGUGGCCCCUCUCAUGAGCUAUAAACAAAAAUUGGUGACCAAUGAGUUCAUUUGAAGGCCACUCACUUGUUUUUUUAAAAUUUUUAGUAAAGAUGAAGGGAAAAUCGUAGAUAUAUAAAGAUGGUACAGACCUUAAAGUCUCAAGUGCCAUUUUCCACGCUUGUAGUGCUUCAAGGAAGACUUAAGUGGAUACUUGUCGCUGCUGCUUCUUGGUUUCCUUUAAAUAAAGAAAAACAAGGAAACUAAAGUUAUAGUCACUGCGUGGAGAGGGUCUUCCCUCGGAGUUUAUGUUGGUUGAUUGGUGGAACCCUUUGUCUUCUCUUACCUUGGAUCAA